CUUUGAAUGACUAACCUCCAUUAGCUGUUCCUCUUAUCCCAGCUGUAUUGCUUCUUGCACCCAAAGUCAAAAGAAAAACUGGAUUUACAAAGCUUCUCGUACGUCAGCAUUCACCAGACCAUGGUCCUGUGUACCAGAUUAAGAAGUACGAUUCCAGAUUACGUGGCAACAAGGACCAGCCCCAUGUAAUUUCACAGAGAUACUGACUGUUCUCCUCAUAACCAUCACCUUCUAUAGGCAGCUGAACAGCAUGUUAAAGAUUUGCAGUACAGGCCUAUUAAUUCAAAGCUCUUCCUGGCAUAUUAGUUAAUAAAUUCAGCCUCGUUUCUUUCAGCUCUCAGAAUGAGCUCCUGGCUUUAUGACGUGUGCAAACUUUUGACUGUG